CAUGAUGCCAUAUUUUGGAUACUAUUCCUAGGAUAUGUUUCUUUCUUUCUAUUUUUUUUUUUGAAAUGAGAAGAACUUUGAAUGGAUCUUUGUGUUGGCUUUUUCAAAAAUGAUCAUUCAUAAGAUGAUUGUGGCUGGAGUAGACCAGCAACCAUAACAAGUUUGGAGAAAAUCAAGAAUCGGAAGAAAGAAAGGAUUAGAUUUUAAAGCCAAGGAAAAUGGAAGGAAGCAGGAGAGUGAAUGGCAUAAAAAAAGGGGAGAAAAUGGAGCAUCUGUGAAUUGUGAUGCAAAGGUUUUGGAGGAGAGCAGAAAAUAGGACCAGAAGGUUUUGGAGCAAUGCACGAUGGCCAGAGAGACCCCCAUUAGACAAGUGUUGGAAAUGACAUGAUGGAAUUAGAAAGAGAGAUGGCUCUGGGUGGCUCGCAACAAUCAAACAAAUUAAGGGUCCAAUUCCCUUCUUAUUGAAAUUCAACUUGGAGACUUCCCAGCUAAAGAUAUUAGAGGAAUCAAGGGCAGACUUUACCAGUGCAGUAAAGAUCGGCAUUUUGCAGGCCAGAUCCAAACCAGUAAUCCACAUUUUAUGGACUAUCAACCUGGGAAGAGUUGUGAAAUUCAAGGUGCCAAGGAUGACUGUUGAAUUUCAGAGCACAGAGCAGUUUGUGAGCACAUUAAUUGUAACAAUUACUACAAUAAAGCACAUGAAGAAUCUUGAACAUUCUGAUGCUUUGUGUACAAGCAUUGCAUAUUGGCUAACUAUUUAUUUGUCAAACAGGAACUAGGUUCAUAGUACCAGAUGACUAUCUGGUGACAGCUAAUGAAUAAGAUGGCAGGGCUGGAUGUGGUGGGAAAUGUGCCCAUAGAUAUCUCUCCUGGUGCCCAGUGCGUUCUCUGCUCCAUGUAACCAUGAUUGUUUAGAGUUCCCUAUGAUAUGAGUCCAUGGGCCCCAUAUGUAUUCUAAGAAGAUCAACUGUAUGGAUAAUAGCAGACCAGGACUUUGAAAAUACCUUGAAAGGGUGUCCCCUUGCUGAGAAAACAAUGCUAACAAAACAUGGUCCUUCCAGAAAGCAGU